GUGGAUCUAAAACACAGACUUCUGGAUCCUGAGUUUCGAAUUCCUUUAACUAAACAGACCGCUGUGCACCAGGAUUCAGGAACGUUUAACCAAACUCACACACAAGCACUGCGGAGUCACAUGACCCCAGGAACUUUGAACACGCUGCUAGCCAAAUGACAAGAGUCAAAGUCAGUUGCUAGCAGAACGAAACUGAGCGAGUGAGGCUUGCCAAGGUCUGACUGGGAAAGGAAAGCAGCAGAUCAUAGUGCGUGACACACACACACUUGGAACAGAGUUAAGCUCGUGGAAUCAGCUGAUGUGGGAAAGGGAAAAACUAAACAGGAACCGUUGGCUGCAACAACAGAAACGUGAUUAUGAGGGUCUGCUAAGGCCAUUAAAAACAAGGCGGUGGGCAAUGACGUCACUGUCCUGUUAACGUGGCUUUCAAAUGACACGUUUUCAGUCACCCAACAACAGGUGGAGUCCACGUAAAGUAGAAGAUGUAUAGAGGAGGAGAACUUACAAGGUAUCUGAGGCAUUCCAGUCAUACAGACCUGCUGGGCUGGUUUGCGGGUCAUUAAAAUUCCUUUCCUUCUCUCAGUGCCUGGCUUAUCGGAAGCCUCUGUUUGUUCCCCAAGCGACGUGUUGGCUCAUGUCCACCCACCUGCCCAGCCUCGCCUUCCACCUUCGACGUGUUAUCUCCCUGUGCCAGAGCACACUGCGUUCUGCGUCUCGGGAAGUUUAUACGCCAGUUCCCCAUGUUGUACUUAGCGACAAAUACAAGAGUUCCCCUUUUGGAUUCCACACCCAAAGUUGAUCACCGACUACCAUAUUUUCAGCGUCUUUCAUUCUGUCUUGUUUUUAUUUUUUCUUUGCCACUUUGAUUUGUGUUUUGUCUUGUCGCCACUGGAGCAUGGAAGUGGUAUCAUCUUUUGUGUCACUUUCUGUGAUAAGCAAGUGAGCAGGCAAAGUUUUGUGCCGGUGGUCCUCGUCACAAAACAACAACAACGGCAUCAAUGGGAUGAAGAAUAGAGCUGACAGUUGUUCUUGCCAAUUUAUUAUCUAGCCAUCCAUUUUCUGAACCGCCUACCCACACCAGGGUUGCAGGCUAGCUCCCACGUAUGUCACAUCCCAGCGUUACGUAGGCGGACCCAAAUGCAGGACUCCCAGGCAAAGGCAUAAUGUUCAGUGGGUUUUAUGGUUUAUUUUCACUGACGUCGCAUUUUUUACUGCACCACUGCGCACCGCCAUUUAACCUUUCUACCUAACGCGUACCCAGUGUGGAAGUCUACGGAAUACUCUCGGUUACUGUUUGUGUUUUUGUGUUUCACGGGCAUCUCGGGACUCAAGUACACAAGAGAGGACUUGCUAACCAUCAGAAAGCCUUCUUCUGACUUUUCUUCUGACUUUUUGUUCAACAAGUCUCGCUAAUUCGCUGAAGCUUUUUCCAGAGUUACUAUUCAGUGCACUCUUCAAAGCCUCCAGUAUGCAAGUCCAGCUGCGUAAGCGGGGACAUCGUCUAACGCUUCCGAUGAAAGUCUUUGGACAUUCUGCGGCUCUGUGCUUCACGGAGACUUGGCUUUGUGGACGAUUUCCCGACGCUAUUAUCCCGCUGCCCGGUCUCAACCUCCACCGUGCUGAUGUGUCACCGAGCUAAGCUAACAAGCUUAAUGGAUACUCUUUUCAGAAGGCCAACAUUACAGGUUAGGCUACCUGUCAUUUGGAACCCACCAAGCUCUUGUCCUUUGCACCUGUGCAAUCCAUUUUUCACAACGAACCGGGUAUUUUGGAAAAGUAUGAAGAGCGAAUCCAUCCUCCCGAGUGUUCGAGCAAUAUCCAGCAAUACAACGAGCCGGCAUUGUGGCUAACACGAAGGAACAAAAAGCUACUUUCCAGGAGGAUUCCGCACACACCUCCUGGACUCGUGCAUUGUUACUUUAAGUCAUAGGAGAGCAGCGUUUCCAAGAAGACCAGCUGGUUUGAUCCCAGUAAAGAUUUUGUGACGUGUUAAUCAACAGUGGAACCUCCAAACAACCAAACACUGGUGAAAGACAGAUUUAUUCCGAUUUUCCUCAUAGGUGUGACUACAAGUGCGAGUGGUUUGUUAGUUUAUACAGAAAAUAAGUACUUGA